GGGGCUGACCUGGUUUUGACAGCAAGCCGAAAUGUUACGUAAGCAUGCCGAGCAUUGUGAUUAAGCUCGUAAAUCUCAAUCACAAACAAUAAUUGGCGAAACUAAUUACGCUCUCGCUGCCUAAUCGAAUCAUAGUAGAUUGUGGCUCAAUCCAGGCACAAGGUGCAGGGACGAGACAUCCUGCCUGAGUGAGACUCCCAAUUCACUAAGGUUUAUAGGGUGCAAAAAAUUUUGGGAUAGUAUAACGGAUGUUCCGGCCGUUAUGCGAAAAUAAAGGAACUAAGAACAGGUUAGGCCGCCCGAUGCCAGACCUGUUACGAAAAUCAAUAUUGGGCUAAGCAUGUAGAAAGCGUAUGAUUUCCUUGUUUGGACGCGGGUUCGACUCCCGCCAGCUCCACUA
rnacentral:tmRNA from 1 species